rnacentral:rRNA from 1 species
UGGGGAAUAUUGGACAAUGGGGGCAACCCUGAUCCAGCCAUGCCGCGUGCGUGAAGAAGGCCUUAGGGUUGUAAAGCGCUUUCAGCGGGGAAGAUAAUGACGGUACCCGCAGAAGAAGCCCCGGCUAACUUCGUGCCAGCAGCCGCGGUAAUACGAAGGGGGCUAGCGUUGUUCGGAAUUACUGGGCGUAAAGCGCGCGUAGGCGGACUCUUAAGCCAGAUGUGAAAUCCCGGGGCUCAACCUCGGAACUGCAUUUGGAACUGGGAGUCUAGAGGUCAGGAGAGGUUCGUGGAAUGCCGAGUGUAGAGGUGAAAUUCGUAGAUAUUCGGUGGAACACCAGUGGCGAAGGCGACGAACUGGACUGAUACUGACGCUGAGGUGCGAAAGUGUGGGGAGCAAACAGGAUUAGAUACCCGCGUAGUCC